rnacentral:sRNA from 1 species
GGUCACCCAAACACAUCUUCAAACCACCAUGAGAUCUCACAGAUUCUCCUCGCCUAUCAAAUCAACUUGACUAGCCAAAAAGCCAGUUUCACACACUACGAUAUCUUGAGAAUCUCAAAUCCGUUCUGUAGCCAUCAGAUGAUUCAAAGAAAGUACAGAGACAUCUUGGUUAAGCUCUACCCCGACACAAAUAAAUCUAUUGCCGCCAAAUCAGCUUUCGAGAUUAUUAAUUAUGCGUGGAAGAUCUUGUCCGAUCCUGAAAAACGAAAAGAUUACAAUAUCAAAAAAAGGUUUAAGUGAAGAUGAUUCAUGUCUCCAGAAGAUCAUGAACCACAUCAAACAGUGAGGCAAGGGUUUCAUGUCUUUCUUGGGAAUUGGAAUACAAAACCUAUUUGUUCUUCUUCUUUUUUUAGGUUAAUUUUAUGAUUUUAUUUUAUUUUAUCUAGGUAUUAAUUCCAAGUAAACUUGUGACAGUUUGAAAGUGCUAAUGGAUAUUU